GGUGGCUCCGUGGUAGAGCACAUGCCUUGCAUGUAUGAGGACCUGGGUUCCAUUCCUCAGCACCA
rnacentral:tRNA from 1 species